rnacentral:rRNA from 1 species
GUGGGGAAUUUUGGACAAUGGGGGAAACCCUGAUCCAGCCAUCCCGCGUGUGCGAUGAAGGCCUUCGGGUUGUAAAGCACCUUUGGCAGGAAAGAAACGUCAUGGGUUAAUACCCCGUGAAACUGACGGUACCUGCAGAAUAAGCACCGGCUAACUACGUGCCAGCAGCCGCGGUAAUACGUAGGGUGCAAGCGUUAAUCGGAAUUACUGGGCGUAAAGCGUGCGCAGGCGGUUCGGAAAGAAAGAUGUGAAAUCCCAGAGCUUAACUUUGGAACUGCAUUUUUAACUACCGAGCUAGAGUGUGUCAGAGGGAGGUGGAAUUCCGCGUGUAGCAGUGAAAUGCGUAGAUAUGCGGAGGAACACCGAUGGCGAAGGCAGCCUCCUGGGAUAACACUGACGCUCAUGCACGAAAGCGUGGGGAGCAAAC